AGAGUUUGAUCCUGGCUCAGGAUGAACGCUGGCGGCGUGCUUAACACAUGCAAGUCGAACGGGCUCAUAUUGAAACCUAGUGAUUUAUGAGUUAGUGGCGGACGGGUGAGUAACGCGUGGAAAACCUGCCGUAUACUGGGGGAUAACACUUAGAAAUAGGUGCUAAUACCGCAUAAGCGCACAGCUUCGCAUGAAGUGGUGUGAAAAACUCCGGUGGUAUACGAUGGUUCCGCGUUUGAUAAGCUUGUUGGCGGGGUAAUGGCUCACCAAGGCGACGAUCAGUAGCCGGCCUGAGAGGGUGAACGGCCACAUUGGGACUGAGACACGGCCCAAACUCCUACGGGAGGCAGCAGUGGGGAAUAUUGCACAAUGGGGGAAACCCUGAUGCAGCGACGCCGCGUGAGUGAAGAAGUAUUUCGGUAUGUAAAGCUCUAUCAGCAGGGAAGAAAUAGCGACCUUUGGGUCGCCAGACGGUACCUGAUUAAGAAGCCCCGGCUAACUACGUGCCAGCAGCCGCGGUAAUACGUAGGGGGCAAGCGUUAUCCGGAUUUACUGGGUGUAAAGGGAGCGUAGACGGCAGCACAAGUCUGAAGUGAAAUGCCGGGGCUUAACCUCGGAACUGCUUUGGAAACUGUGCAGCUAGAGUGCAGGAGAGGUAAGUGGAAUUCCUAGUGUAGCGGUGAAAUGCGUAGAUAUUAGGAGGAACACCAGUGGCGAAGGCGGCUUACUGGACUGUAACUGACGUUGAGGCUCGAAAGCGUGGGGAGCAAACAGGAUUAGAUUCCCUGGUAGUCCACGCUGUAAAC
rnacentral:rRNA from 1 species